rnacentral:rRNA from 1 species
AGGUUAAUAUUCCUGUACCGAUGUAUAGUGCGAUGUGGGGACGGAGAAGGUUAGGUUAGCCAACUGUUGGAAAUGUUGGUUUAAGCGUGAAGGUGUGUAUCUUAGGCAAAUCCGGGAUACUUUAACACUGAGGCGUGAUGACGAGGUGCUACGGCACUGAAGUAAUUGAUACCAUGCUUCCAGGAAAAGCCACUAAGCUUCAGCUAUAUAUUGACCGUACCGCAAACCGACACUGGUGGACGAGAUGAGUAUUCUAAGGCGCUUGAGAGAACUCUGGAGAAGGAACUCGGCAAAUUAGCUCCGUAACUUCGGGAGAAGGAGCGCCCCGAUAAUGUGUAGGACUUCGCGUCCGAAGCAGUAAGGGGUUGCAGUGAACUGGUGGCUGCGACUGUUUAUUAAAAACACAGCACUCUGCAAACACGAAAGUGGACGUAUAGGGUGUGACGCCUGCCCGGUGCUGGAAGAUUAAAUGAUGGGGUGCAAGCUCUUGAUUGAAGUCCCAGUAAACGGCGGCCGUAACUAUAACGGUCCUAAGGUAGCGAAAUUCCUUGUCGGGUAAGUUCCGACCCGCACGAAUGGCGUAACGAUGGCCACACUGUCUCCUCCAGAGACUCAGCGAAGUUGAAAUGUUUGUGAAGAUGCAAUCUCCCCGCGGCUAGACGGAAAGACCCCAUGCACCUUUACUGCAGCUUUGUAUUGGACUUUGACCAUAUCUGUGUAGGAUAGGUGGGAGGCUUUGAAGUUGUGACGCUAGUCACGAUGGAGCCGACGUUGAAAUACCACCCUGAUAUGUUUGAGGUUCUAACCUAGGUAUAACAGUACCGGGGACAGUACAUGGUAGGCAGUUUGACUGGGGCGGUCUCCUCCCAAAGAGUAACGGAGGAGUACGAAGGUAACCUAGAUACGGACGGAAAUCGUAUUGAUAGUGCAAUGGCAAAAGGUUGCUUGACUGCGAGACUGACAAGUCGAGCAGGUGCGAAAGCAGGUCAUAGUGAUCCGGUGGUUCUGAAUGGAAGGGCCAUCGCUCAACGGAUAAAAGGUACUCCGGGGAUAACAGGCUGAUACCGCCCAAGAGUUCAUAUCGACGGCGGUGUUUGGCACCUCGAUGUCGGCUCAUCUCAUCCUGGGGCUGAAGCCGGUCCCAAGGGUAUGGCUGUUCGCCAUUUAAAGAGGUACGUGAGCUGGGUUUAAAACGUCGUGAGACAGUUUGGUCCCUAUCUGCCGUGGGCGUUGGAGAUUUGAGGGGGGCUGCUCCUAGUACGAGAGGACCGGAGUGGACAGACCUCUGGUGUACCGGUUGUCACGCCAGUGGCAUUGCCGGGUAGCUAAGUCUGGAAAAGAUAACCGCUGAAAGCAUCUAAGUGGGAAACUUGCCUCGAGAUAAGAUCUCCCUGAGUAUUAAAUACUCCAUAAGGGUCGUUGGAGACUACAACGUUGAUAGGUCAGGUGUGGAAGCGCAGUAAUGUGUUAAGCUAACUGAUACUAAUUGCCCGUGAGGCUUGACU